rnacentral:rRNA from 2 species
UAGCAAGGUUAACCGAAUAGGGGAGCCGGAGGGAAACCGAGUCUUAAUUGGGCGUUAAGUUGCAGGGUAUAGACCCGAAACCCGGUGAUCUAGCCAUGGGCAGGUUGAAGGUUGGGUAACACUAACUGGAGGACCGAACCGACUAAUGUUGAAAAAUUAGCGGAUGACCUGUGGCUGGGGGUGAAAGGCCAAUCAAACCGGGAGAUAGCUGGUUCUCCCCGAAAGCUAUUUAGGUAGCGCCUCGUGAAUUCAUCUCCGGGGGUAGAGCACUGUUUCGGCUAGGGGGCCAUCCCGGCUUACCAACCCGAUGCAAACUGCGAAUACCGGAGAAUGUUAUCACGGGAGACACACGGCGGGUGCUAACGUCCGUCGUGAAGAGGGAAACAACCCAGACCGCCAGCUAAGGUCCCAAAGUCAUGGUUAAGUGGGAAACGAUGUGGGAAGGCCCAGACAGCCAGGAUGUUGGCUUAGAAGCAGCCAUCAUUUAAAGAAAGCGUAAUAGCUCACUGGUCGAGUCGGCCUGCGCGGAAGAUGUAACGGGGCUAAACCAU